GACGAACGCUGGCGGCGUGCUUAACACAUGCCAGUCGAACGGAAAGGCCCUGCUUGCAGGGUACUCGAGUGGCGAACGGGUGAGUAACACGUGGGUGAUCUGCCCUGCACUUCGGGAUAAGCCUGGGAAACUGGGUCUAAUACCGGAUAGGAGCCAUUUUUAGUGUGAUGGUUGGAAAGUUUUUUCGGUAUAGGAUGAGCUCGCGGCCUAUCAGCUUGUUGGUGGGGUAAUGGCCUACCAAGGCGGCGACGGGUAGCCGGCCUGAGAGGGUGGACGGCCACAUUGGGACUGAGAUACGGCCCAGACUCCUACGGGAGGCAGCAGUGGGGAAUAUUGCACAAUGGGCGCAAGCCUGAUGCAGCGACGCCGCGUGGGGGAUGACGGCCUUCGGGUUGUAAACUCCUUUCGCUAGGGACGAAGCUUUUUGUGACGGUACCUAGAUAAGAAGCACCGGCUAACUACGUG
rnacentral:rRNA from 1 species